GACGAACGCUGGCUGCGUGCUUAACACAUGCAAGUCGAACGCUGAAACCCUGGUGCUUGCACCGGGGUGGAUGAGUGGCGAACGGGUGAGUAACACGUGAGUAACCUGCCCCCGACUUCGGGAUAAGCCCGGGAAACUGGGUCUAAUGCCGGAUAGGAGGAUCCCUCGCAUGAGGGAUGCUGGCAAGUUUUUUCGGUUGGGGAUGGGCUCGCGGCCUAUCAGUUUGUUGGUGAGGUAAUGGCUCACCAAGACGACGACGGGUAGCCGGCCUGAGAGGGCGACCGGCCACACUGGGACUGAGACACGGCCCAGACUCCUACGGGAGGCAGCAGUUGGGAAUAUUGCACAAUGGGGGAAACCCUGAUGCAGCGACGCAGCGUGCGGGAUGACGGCCUUCGGGUUGUAAACCGCUUUCAGCAGGGAAGAAGCCCCUCGGGGUGACGGUACCUGCAGAAGAAGUACCGGCUAACUACGUGCCAGCAGCCGCAGUAA
rnacentral:rRNA from 1 species